GACGAACGCUGGCGGCGUGCUUAACACAUGCAAGUCGAACGGUAAGGCCCUUCGGGGUACACGAGUGGCGAACGGGUGAGUAACACGUGGGUGAUCUGCCCUGCACUUCGGGAUAAGCCUGGGAAACUGGGUCUAAUACCGGAUAGGACCACUGCCUGCAUGGGUGGCGGUGGAAAGCUUUUGCGGUGUGGGAUGGGCCCGCGGCCUAUCAGCUUGUUGGUGGGGGGAUGGCCUACCAAGGCGACGACGGGUAGCCGGCCGGAGAGGGUGACCGGCCCCACUGGGACUGGGAUACGGCCCAGACUCAUACGGGAGGCAGCGGUGGGGAAUAUUGCACAAUGGGCGCAAGCCUGAUGCAGCGACGCCGCGUGAGGGAUGACGGCCUUCGGGUUGUAAACCUCUUUCAGUAGGGACGAAGCGCAAGUGACGGUACCUACAGAAGAAGGACCGGCCAACUACGUGCCAGCCGCCGCAGUAA
rnacentral:rRNA from 1 species